rnacentral:tRNA from 1 species
AGCAGUUAAGCGCUUGGCUGCUAACCUAAAGGUCAGUGGUUUGAACCCACUAACUGCUC